CCUACGGGAGGCAGCAGUAGGGAAUUUUCGGCAAUGGGGGGAACCCUGACCGAGCAACGCCGCGUGAACGAAGAAGUUAUUCGUAAUGUAAAGUUCUUUUAACAGGGAAGAAAGAGAAAUUUGACGGUACCUGAAGAAUAAGCUCCGGCAAACUACGUGCCAGCAGCCGCGGUAAUACGUAGGGAGCGAGCGUUAUCCGGAAUCAUUGGGCGUAAAGGGUGCGUAGAUGGCAUAGUAAGUCUUUUGUAAAAAUGCUGGGCUAAACCCAGUAGGGCAAAAGAUACUGCAAAGCUAGAGUAUGACAGAGGUAAGUGGAACUACAUGUGUAGCGGUAAAAUGCGUAGAUAUAUGGAAGAACACCAGUGGCGAAGGCGGCUUGCUGGGUCGAUACUGACAUUGAGGCACGAAAGCGUGGGGAGCAAACAGGAUUAGAUACCCCAGUAGUC
rnacentral:rRNA from 1 species